GCAAUCAAUGCAUACAUUAGAUUUUAAAUUUAAAAAUAGUGAAGACGUAAUAAAGAGGCACAGAGAGUACUUUACCUAACCUUCUUAUUAAACAGUUUUUAAGUUUGAAUAUGGAUUUGGUACAAUAGCUGACAUAAGGGCUUCGGAUGAUAAGAUAAUUCCAACAUAUUACAACAAUCAUCUGCUUCCGUAGCUCAGGAUUUCGAUAACUAGCCACAAAGAAAAUAUAGAAAUUCCAUCUUCAUAGAUUGGAGUUUAUUCACUGUUUUGAUGUUGAGCAUUGAACACUACUAAAACGAAUUAAAAACUUGACUGAUGUGUCUGAAAAACUGUGACUGAAAAAUCAUAAAAAAAACCAACAAUUUCACAUUAAACUCCGAGAGUUUUACUCACUUCAAGGCGAACAAUUCAGUUGGGUCAAUAAAUAUCAAACUUUAGCUCGACAAAAUUAUAGCCUAUAGGAAGGAAAAUAAAAUAAAAGUAUAUUUAUUACAUAUUUUUUGACGGAAGUCCCAAAUAGUCAGCAACAUCUCUGUAUUAUGUCGCCAAAUUAUUUUCUCGAAAAUUCGCCUUCAGCGGAAAUGAAGCCAGUUGAAGAAAAUACAUCGCUGGUUCUACACGCAAGAAAAGUUAUUCUGUCUCUAUCUCUAUAAAUGCAUUCCGCAAAUACUUCUUUCGCAAACAAAAUUAAUGGUUCAAUCGUUUUAACACUCGGAAACCGAAGCAAACUGGGAUCCGGAUACGUUCUUAAAGGAAGGAUAUGUAAGAAAAGCCGGGCUCAAGAGUUAGAACAGAACAAUCAGAUGCAGCCGAUUACAGGAAUCAUGUUUUAUUUAACCAUAACCGAUUCUUUCCAAGCCUGGUAUAUUUCUAUUUUACCUUUCGCAAUCGAAGUCGUUGGUUCGUGCGCCGUUGUUUCUACGACUUGGAAUUCUUUUUACAGCUGCUAACACUGAGGAACAUGCCACGUGUUAAAUAAGCCUGAAACAUUUACAAUGUGCAGAUAACAUGAGACGCUGUAAAAAAGGAAAUCAAUUUCUCGCAAAACACAAUUUAGAAUUGUAAUAACAAAAAUGAAGCUGCGCGGCUGAACAGGUUGCUGAGACGGCUUGUGUGUACAAUCUGUUGGAGAAAUUAAUAGUUCGUAUGUAUGUCUAUCACGACUGUCAGUUACCAUGCGUGCCGUCUAUCUUUGUAAGAAGCAACUGCAUUGGCGUUCGUUAUCUAAGCUGACAGGAACAUAUCACACAAGAGCGCCCAACGCACCAAAAACUUCAAAGCACGGAGAUAUAGGAGCCAAGCGGCAAAUUACAUAAAGAAUUAGCAAUAAAUACAGAGUCCACACAUGGUUGGCUCUAUUCAAUAGCAACAAUCCCCGAUCAGCAUAGCAAUCAAACGUCAUGGAAGUUUGACCAUAACGAGAGCGAGGACUGCACCAUUUAAACCCUAAAAUAAUAAAGAAGAUUGGCAAUAAAAAUGUAACUGUGUAAAUGUCCAACUUAAAAUAUAAAUGUGAGCUUCAAAUCACCAAAGCUACCACAGCUCGCUUGAAAUUCAAA